rnacentral:ncRNA from 1 species
GUAAAUAAUUAGCUAAUUUAUUGAAAAAUAAGGACGCAAAGCCGUGGGUCUAAGGAAAGAAAAUCUAUGACUGCCUGGUUGCUUUC